GAAGUCUCCGUUCUCGGGGCAUAUAAGCCCUGCUCGCGUGAGGCGUGCCGCUUCCUGCUCGCGCUGUUCUGUAGUUAGUUAAAAGUUUAUUAAUUCUGAACGCGUCUGGCCUGUCUAUCUAUAUUGCACCAAAUACGACACUGCACUCCCUUGUGAAGUCGUUUGGACGAAAGGUUCUCAAAAUAAUCAAAAUGCAAACAGACAGACACAGAGUUUCCUGCCUUUAGAGAAAAUAUGUUCAGCCCCCUCUCUCCGAAGCUUCGAAUAUUCGAUGCUCAUUACUACCGAAGCUUCGAAGCUCAAACAAUGGUAUUCGGACCAGCCCUAGUUUUUAGUUACAUUUCCUUUGUAG